rnacentral:rRNA from 1 species
CCUACGGGGGGCUGCAGUGAGGAAUAUUGGUCAAUGGUCGGGAGACUGAACCAGCCAAGCCGCGUGAGGGAUGAAGGUACAGAGUAUCGUAAACCUCUUUUGUCAGGGAACAAAGGCGGGGACGCGUCCCCGGAUGAGUGUACCUGAAGAAAAAGCAUCGGCUAACUCCGUGCCAGCAGCCGCUGUAAUACGGAGGAUGCGAGCGUUAUCCGGAUUUAUUGGGUUUAAAGGGUGGGCAGGCGGGCUGUUAAGUCAGCGGUCAAAGCCCGGGGCUCAACCCCGGCCCGCCGUUGAAACUGGCAGUCUCGAGUUGGAGAGAAGUAUGCGGAAUGCGCGGUGUAGCGGUGAAAUGCAUAGAUAUCACGAAGAACCCCGAUUGCGAAGGCAGCAUACCGGCUCCACACUGACGCUGAGGCACGAAAGCGUGGGUAUCGAACAGGAUUAGAUACCCUUGUAGUC